AUUGAACGCUGGCGGUAGGCCUAACACAUGCAAGUCGAACGGCAGAAGAGUAAUUGCUUCUUGUUUCAGGUGCGGACUGGCGAAUAGUGGAUGGAUACAUGGCUGUCUAUGUUGUCUUGCGUGAUGACGUAGGGAAUCUUACCGUAAUAGUGCAUACGGAGUAAGUGUGAAAUCUUGGGAUCUUCGGACCUUGGGUGAUUCAAGGAGGCGAUGUCGGAUUAGCUAGUUGGCGGGGUAAAGGCCCACCAAGGCGACGAUCCGUAGCUGGUCUGAGAGGAUGAUCAGCCACACUGGAACUGAGACACGGUCCAGACUCCUACGGGAGGCAGCAGUGGGGAAUAUUGGACAAUGGGCGAAAGCCUGAUCCAGCCAUGCCGCGUGGGUGAAGAAGGCCUUCGGGUUGUAAAGCCCUUUUAUUUGGGAAGAAAAGCAGCAAGUUAAUACCCCGCUGUUUUGACGGUACCAAAAGAAUAAGCACCGGCUAACUUCGUG
rnacentral:rRNA from 1 species